rnacentral:lncRNA from 1 species
GGGGGGUUUGUGAAAGGAUUGUGAAUGCGGAUGAAGUAAAUCAAACACGGAAGCAAACUGAUAAUUAAACACAAAUCUAAAAACGGUUUCAAAGACAGAAUAAAAAAAAAAAACAGUUGGUUAUUAACUUAAUUACAAUACUUCCUAUCAUAGAUCAACAAAAUAAAGCAACGACUCGAACCUCUAAUCCAACACAAUUAACCAACUAAGUGAAGGCUAAUCAUGUUUUCAUAAAAGUGAACUAAGUGAAUGCAAUGUUAACAUCAAAUCCAAUUUACACCAUGCAGUUUCAUCAACUAAGAGAAGACUCAACACCAACUGGGCAACUAAGUGUAUACCCAAUUGCAAGUGUAAAUACAGAUUUCACAUUAACCAAGUCAGAGUGGCAAACACAAUUACAGUCCAGAAAUCUCAAGGAAACAGUAUAAUAUCGCUAAUGACCAACCAACUAACCUAAGCUAACAUCAAAAUUAAAUUAUCACUACCGACCAUAACAGACAUCAUGGUGAAUGGAAACAAUAAACCUAACAUAACGGACAACAUAAUGAACUGAAAAAGUAAACUGAACAAUGCAAUAGAUAAAUAUCCAGACACAAUUGAAACUAUUAAAAUGCAACGAGUAAGCUAAACAUUAAAAGUAAUUCAUUACGGAAAUGACUCAGAAAAUACAUUAACACUAAAAAUAAAAAUUAAAUGCGUGAGCUACUUGAACCAUAAUUCAUUCUAAUAAAGAAAAUGUGAUUUCUAAAUCAAAUAGAAUGCCACAUGCUUUUCCUACAACUGGCCGUGACAUUAUGCAAAAGAAAUUGGUAAAGAACCAUGCUUCACUUUUCAAGGAAAUAAAGGAAAAAGUAACUAUAAUAUUUGACAAGAAGUGGUGCAGCGCUGGACCUGGACCGUGAAUGCAUAAAAUUAAAUCAGUGUGUGCCAUUUUUCAUUCAAGGAAAAAUAUUCCAAACAUGAGAUGUGACAACUUCCCAGGGUGCUGAAUCCGCUUUCUCCAUUUUUCAUUCCGCUAGACGUUACCUGAGUUGAAGAAAACAAAUUCCUAUGUUGAAUGUCCCUCAAUGCAGCGCCACUUCUUCCAAUAUAAAAUUGCUAAAUCCAAAAUGGAAUGAAUCUCCGAAAUCAAUCACCAAAUGCAGCUCCAAGAUUAAAUCACCGUCCACAACUUCUUCCAACCGUCACCACAUGCUCCUGCCAAGCCAUCAAUCACCGUUUCUUCUCCAAAAUAAUUUGUCUAUAAAAUAAAAUGCAUAGCAUGUGCCUCCUUGCAGCAGUAAUCGUUGCUCCCUUUUCAUCCCAUUGUAGCCGUCACCAUCACAUCACUUUCCAAGUGAAAUCAACUUGUUCUUAAAUGAGAAAUGCAAAGAAAUUCAAGUGUGGCACCGUGCAGCUCUAGUAAAUCACAAAACGCAAAAGCAAUAAGCGUGUCCUCACCAAAUGCAUAAAGCAACGUUCGAGAAAGCUAAAACAUAAUCGUGUGGCAGCUGCUCAUUUCACCAAAUGUCGUCAGCGUGUGCAGCUAGAACCAAAAAAACGUUCCACCCUUUUGCACCCAAAAUUCCCAAAAGUCGUGACUUCACUCACCAAAACUCAAUGUAAAUUAUAACUUCACCAAAUAUAUUAGAAAAUAAACUUUGGUUAAAGCAUGAAGCUAAAGAAAGAAACCGAAUAAUCUUCUGGUGUCUACAUUGCAAAACUCGUUCAGCCCCCUUGCAGAAUGAAUAUCCGAG